rnacentral:rRNA from 1 species
GAUGAACGCUGACAGAAUGCUUAACACAUGCAAGUCUUUGGUGAAGCUGUGCUUGCACAGCCUAGCCAAGGCGGACGGGUGAGUAACGCGUAAGGAACUUGCCCUGCAGUCAGGGAUAACAGACGGAAACGACUGAUAAGACCUGGUAAAGUCAGGCGGACUCCUGUCCAGCCUGAUGAAAAGAGAUGCUGCAGGAGAGCCUUGCGUCCUAUUAGCUUGUUGGUGGGGUAACGGCCCACCAAGGCAAUGAUAGGUAGCCGGCCUGAGAGGGUGGACGGCCACAAGGGGACUGAGAUACGGCCCUUACUCCUACGGGAGGCAGCAGUGGGGAAUAUUGGACAAUGGGGGCAACCCUGAUCCAGCAAUUCUGUGUGCACGAUGAAGGUUUUCGGAUUGUAAAGUGCUUUCAGCAGGGAAGAAAAAAAUGACGGUACCUGCAGAAGAAGCGACGGCUAAAUACGUG